ACGGGGUGGCAGCAGGCGCGAAACCUUUACACUGCACGACAGUGCGAUAGGGGGAUUCCAAGUGCACAGGCAUAGCGCCUUUGCUUUUCGGUACCGUAAGGCGGUACCAGAAUAAGGGCUGGGCAAGACCGGUGCCAGCCGCCGCGGUAAUACCGGCAGUCCAAGUGAUGGCCGAUCUUAUUGGGCCUAAAGCGUCCGUAGCUGGCCACGCAAGUCCAUUGGGAAAUCCACCUGCUCAACAGGUGGGCGUCCGGUAGAAACUGCACGGCUUGGGACCGGAAGGCGCGACGGGUACGUCCGGGGUAGGAGUGAAAUCCUGUAAUCCUGGACGGACCGCCAAUGGGGAAAGCACGUCGAGAGACCGGAUCCGACAGUGAGGGACGAAAGCCAGGGUCUCGAACCGGAUUAGAUACCCGGGUAGUCCUGGCCGUAAACAAUGUUUGCUAGGUGUGGCUACCCACUCACGAGCGGGGUGCAUGUGCCGGCUAGGGAAGCCGAUAAGC
rnacentral:rRNA from 1 species